UACGUAGGGUGCUAGCGUUGUCCGGAAUCAUUGGGCGUAAAGCGCGUGUAGGCGGUCCGGUAAGUCCGCUGUGAAAGUCGGGGGCUCAACCCUCGAAUGCCGGUGGAUACUGUCGGGCUAGAGUGCGGAAGAGGCGAGUGGAAUUCCUGGUGUAGCGGUGAAAUGCGCAGAUAUCAGGAGGAACACCAAUUGCGAAGGCAGCUCGCUGGGACGUUACUGACGCUGAGACGCGAAAGCGUGGGGAGCAAACAGG
rnacentral:rRNA from 1 species